rnacentral:tRNA from 1 species
AGUUUCCAGGGAUGGGAAUCGAACCCACAGUAUUCCGCUUACCGGGCAGAUUCCAGGUCCACUAGGCUACUGUUGAC